ACUCCUACGGGAGGCAGCAGUGGGGAAUAUUGGACAAUGGGCGAAAGCCUGAUCCAGCCAUGCCGCGUGUGUGAAGAAGGUCUUCGGAUUGUAAAGCACUUUAAGUUGGGAGGAAGGGCAGUAAGUUAAUACCUUGCUGUUUUGACGUUACCGACAGAAUAAGCACCGGCUAACUCUGUGCCAGCAGCCGCGGUAAUACAGAGGGUGCAAGCGUUGUCCGGAAUUAUUGGGCGUAAAAGAGCUCGUAGGCGGUUUGUCACGUCUGCUGUGAAAAUCCAAGGCUCAACCUUGGACUUGCAGUGGGUACGGGCAGGCUAGAGUGCGGUAGGGGAGAUGGGAAUUCCUGGUGUAGCGGUGGAAGUGCGCAGAUAUCAGGAGGAACACCAAUGGCGAAGGCACAUCUCUGGGCCGUAACUGACGCUGAGGAGCGAAAGCGUGGGGAGCGAAACAGGAUUAGAUACCCUGUAGGUCAGUC
rnacentral:rRNA from 1 species